CGGACGGGUGAGUAAUGUCUGGGAAACUGCCCGAUGGAGGGGGAUAACUACUGGAAACGGUAGCUAAUACCGCAUAACGUCGCAAGACCAAAGAGGGGGACCUCCGGGCCUCUUGCCAUCGGAUGUGCCCAGAUGGGAUUAGCUAGUAGGUGGGGUAACGGCUCACCUAGGCGACGAUCCCUAGCUGGUCUGAGAGGAUGACCAGCCACACUGGAACUGAGACACGGUCCAG
rnacentral:rRNA from 1 species